rnacentral:lncRNA from 1 species
CCCAAGGACACGACCUCCUCUAUGUAGGAAGCCCUGAGAACUCACUAUUAUCAGUGAGGGGAACCCUGGGGACAAGCCCUGUUCUGUGAGGUAAGACCUGUGGACCUGCUCUUUACUGUGAGGGGAACCACUGGGACCUGCCCUUCUCUGUGAAGGCAGUCUCAGAGACCCAAACUUUUCUGUGAUGGGAGCCCUAGGGACCUGACCUCCUCCGUGAAGGAAGCCCUAAGGACACGCCCUUUACUGUGAGGGGAACCCUGGGGACCUGCCCUUCUCUGUGAGGGGAGCCCCCAGAUCGGCCUUCUUUAGUAAGGGAAGCCCUAGGGAUCCACCAUCCUCUGUGAGGGGAAUUGAAACCUGCCCUCAUCUGUGAGGGAAACUCUGAGGACCUGCCCUCCUCUAUCAGGGGAGCCCUGAGGACCCACGCUUUUGUCUAAGGGGAACCCCAAAGACUCGACCUCUUCUGUGAAGAAAGGAUCCACCAUUUUCAGUGAGGGGAACCCUGGAGACCAGCCCUCUUCUGUGAGGAAGGACCUGGGGACCCACCCUUUACUGGGAAAAGAACCCUGAGGACCCACCUGCCUCUGUCAGGGGAGCCCUGGGGACCUGCUCUACGUUAAAUGAAUAGCUGCAAACAGAGCUCAAGUUGUCAUCCCUGUGGGAGUGGGAUUAUGUCUCCUGGAACUCUAUGGAGAAAACCUCUCAAACUCACUGGAGCAAACAGCACCUGUAGACUCAGCGCGGGAGCGCCUCUUCCCUCUACAGCUCCACAGACAUCACUGCACUCCCAGCAGCACAGGCAGGAGCCUGCACCAGGAAAAGCUCAGGGAUGUGCUGGCCCACUCCUCUCCUCUGACCCUUGAGGACCCAGGUCUAGGGGGGAUUAAGAAAUAUGCCAUAGGAAAAAUAAAUGCAAGAG